rnacentral:rRNA from 1 species
GCUUGUCUCAAAGAUUAAGCCAUGCAUGUCUAAGUAUAAACUGCUUUAUACUGUGAAACUGCGAAUGGCUCAUUAAAUCAGUUAUAGUUUAUUUGAUGGUACUUACUUACUCGGAUAACCGUAGUAAUUCUAGAGCUAAUACGUGCGUAAAUCCCGACUUCUGGAAGGGACGUAUUUAUUAGAUAAAAGGCCAGCCGGGCUUUGCCCGACCUGCGGUGAAUCAUGAUAACUUCACGAAUCGUAUGGCCUUGUGCCGACGAUGUUUCAUUCAAAUUUCUGCCCUAUCAACUUUUGAUGGUAGGAUAGAGGCCUACCAUGGUGGUAACGGGUGACGGAGGAUUAGGGUUCGAUUCCGGAGAGGGAGCCUGAGAAACGGCUACCACAUCCAAGGAAGGCAGC